AAAUAUGAAAUUUUAUUAAAAGAAAAAGGGGUGAAAAGAACAAAGUUUUGUCCAUCUUUGUUCAUCAUAGCCUAAAGUUAGAGAAGAGAAAGGAGAGGAGAAAGCUCUUGAAUGUUCGGUCACUUGGGGAAGAAAAUUGAAGGCAGUUCGUGUGUGGAUCUCGUCAGCAUAUCGUCACAAACAGGUAAUCCCCAACCAUAGUGGGC